CCUCGUCGAGAGGCCUGCACGGUCGCCACCGCCCACGGAGCUGGCCAAGUUGGCGUCCCUCCCAACUGCUUAUCAGGGAACAGCAGGCAUAGACUCCCGUAUAGACUCCGCUCUUCCGCAGAAGAGACACCCGGGUAACGAUCCAGCAGAAACCGGGGCUCUGCGCGCUGGACCACUUCCCAGCGACGCUUCCGUCAGCCCAUCCUUCCCUCUGAGCGCCUUGGAGAGACGAGAAAUGGUCUACGGUGAUGCGCCCUGCAGCGUCUCACCUGAGACAAGAGCGAAGGAGGCAUUCCGGACGUCUGUGGUCGCUGAGAGGCUUGUGGAUAACAUCGUCCGAAUCGUCAGGAUUGCCUAACUUUGAACAACGCCGUUUUCGUUGUCGGAAUAAUACGAAUAUACAUUUAUACGUUACCUGAUUGUUGAGUAACAAAUUGGUUCUGCUGUUUUAUUAUCAAAACGAGCGCCGCAGAGAAUAUUCUCACACACAUAUCCUUGGCGAUUCUGUAGGAUAGGAACUGUUCUUUCAUCCACUCACCUUGCAGCCAACCUACCAAUGUUAAAUACCUUUAACAAAAUCUUCCCAGCGAUCAAACCCUCGAAGGCAAAGUUUCCUGGCUUGCUACCAUCUCAGUUUAAGGGCUCUGAACAAUUGGCACAAUACCCUGGAUGACUGACUGAAACUGAGAUGUAGUUUCCACUCUCUUCUGUUUUCUUCAUCCAUUUUCUUCUGUUCUGAGGUCACACCUUCCUAAUAAAAUGGUUGGCAACAACAAUA